UCCCUCGUGGUGAAAUGGUAAACACGUGUGAUUCAAAAUCAUGUGCCUAAAGCUUGCCGGUUCGAGUCCGGUCGAGGGUA
rnacentral:tRNA from 1 species